UGUAAAAAAUUGAAAAUUACGAGAGGUUGAAGUCAGGUAGCUGAGAGGAGGAACGAACGAGUCAAUUUACAUAAACAUACAUCAACAAUCCCGGCCAACGUUGGCCCCAGUGGAGUUAGAUAAUGAGUCGUAAUUACGCCAACGGAAUGACCAGUUGAAUGGCUUCUGUCACAUUUGAUAUUCUGGGUAGAAUUUCCGAACGAUGACCCAAGAAUUGAAAACAAAAAAUCUCUCAACAGUUGGAAUAUAGAAAUAAGAAUAAUCAUCGAAAAAAUGUGGAAAAGUAAAGGUUCACGAUAUAUCAUGAGCGAGUCAACUUGAAAUCCACGAUCGAACGUAUCAUCAGGUACAGUCCACUGACAGUACCUGUAAUUAGAGAAAUCUUCGUCGUUUAUUCGACCCUGGUAGACCAUAAAUCUACCCGCGAAACGAGAAAAAACACUUUCGUGGAACAUGUUUCUAUGGGGCUCAUUACGAGGUUGUCGCAAGGAAGCUACACCAGUACCUUGGAACAGCUGGACGCCAGCUGGAACUCGUGUUGAAUCUCGUUGGGGCCAGAAACGGGAAUUCUCGAGUCUGUGGAGUCCCCUAACAAGCAAAGUGCAUAUUCCACCCGAGAAUGACUCCAGUGAAAUAUGAAAUAAGUAAAAAAAAAAAAAUAACCGAUAGUAUCCAGGAAGAGGUUUGCACCUUGCGUCAACCCCAUUAAAUCACCCAACACCCUGUUUAUCGACGUUGGACACGAGUAAUUGGGCAUCGAGGCCAUUGCAUCAUUGCCACCUCAGGGGAGUGUACAGAGGUGUACUGAGGUCCAAGUGAAAAACAAGACUUCUCAAUGCAUCCACUGGCCAUUAUUCCUCGAAUACCCUCCAGGCACUAUCGUUUCUCUCCCAAGUCGAGUGUAAAGACCACUCUGACAUCUUGUUGAUGACGUUUUCUAUUCUAUGAACACGGAAUUGAUGGGAAUGAAUCUAAUUACUUGUUUUCCGAGUACUUGGAUAUCAAAUAGUCUCCAGGAAUGAUCAGGCGAUGUCCAGGUAGUGGGAGCCUCGAUGAUUAUUGAGAUUGGAUAAUCAUACCAUGUAAAUCGAACCCCGACACGUAUAUCCGAGUAAAUUACAAAAUUCCAAUACACGUGAACACAAUGCGGAUACAUGUACGACACAUACUUCAACAUGACUGGUGCAGGUCUCAGUGCUGGGGUAUUUCGAGGGUUUGAGAGGUCAAGGCUCGAUCGGAGGGAUGUGAAAUGUUUUCUGAAUUUAUGCUGUUUCGAAUGAAUUCCUCGUGUCAACGGAAAAAUUUAUGCAUUGAGGAACAUAAAUCUGGGGUCUUCACCGGUCACUUCAGGUUGAUGGCGACUCUGAGCUAGUGGGAAUGUCCUAGACUUCACGAGAACCCAUGAAACUUCAAUAAAAUCUGGGAUUUAGACAGAAAGAAUGAAACAAAGACAGAAAAUCGUUGACUCAUACUUAAUUUGUAAAAAAAGAAUACAUUCUAUUUUUUAUAAACCGCAAUUAAAAAAUGAACAAUAAAAUAAUUUACCUUUAACAUCUGAUCCCUUGAUAUUUAAAACUGAAAUUGUUAAUGAACAUUUGAUAAAUUUUCUUGAUUCGCAAUUAAAAGUUCUGUUUCUCAUUUUGAUGGUUUCGAAGUUGAAAACUUCAAUGGCGUAAUAUAUCUUACAAUAUUCUAAUAGUAGAUGAGAGUGUCUUAUUUUCCUGAAGAUAUUUUGAAAAGUUGAAGUCAAAAGCAGAUAUAAAACUCAUGAUGAUGACCAACAGUAAUCCAAUCUCUCAGCCCUAGAAUUCUCAAUUUUUCUCGUUUCAUUCCUCAACUUCUCCACAAACUUCAUGAAAACAUCAAAACAUUGGAUUUUAUAACAGAAGUAAAAACUCGGCAGAGGCAAUAUCUGUAACGUCGAUAGAAAAUCUUCUGGAUUAAACUUUCCAGGAGUUGGAGUCAUACGUAAGCUCCCUUCAAUAUGUCGGUCUUGUUUCAUCAUGAAAGUACAUUACGUUUAUAUUUGCACCUUGAGAUGAGGAAGCAAUUGAGUCUAGGUGUGCUGAGUAGAUCAGCUCCAUUGUCUUCACAAAUCACCAUUUGACCUGAUCCUAUUUCCCUCUCUCGAUAUUCACAAUUUGUUAAAUGUUAGACUUCCGUGAUUCGUAUCAGUAAACCC